AUAUACUUCGGUCAACUACCUUUUCUGGCUACCUCUAUUUUUAACAUGGUAGCUAGAUCAGAGCUGGAGUGAGUAUAUCUCCUCAAGCUGGAAUUUAUAUCACUGAUUUGAAGCUAGACAUACCCCAAGACUCUCUAGAUCAGUUCUCCAUGUAUGAAAUGAGUAUAAUAAUACUUUUCUAUUUCACAGGGGUGUUUUGAUGCUCCAUACAUUAAAGACUGCGAGGUGCUCAGAACCAAUGGUAAUGGAGGUCAUAUUGCCUUGCAAACUGAGCUGAAUAAAUCCCACGGGAUACAUCUCUGGAAAAUACCACACAGGAGAAGAAAGCACGUUGCUGCAAUCAACACAUUUUUGGUUUAAGACGGAGAUCCAGGAGGACAGAGUGAUCCAGCCUAAGGCCUAUGCACUAGUGAAGUCCUCAAAAUAGGGUUUGAGUGGGACUUAGGUGGUGCACCCUCUGCACCAAGGGGGAAAUUCACCUCAAACGCUUCUUAUCUAAAGGGUCACUGCAGAGCAAUGAAUGAUACAGCUGGUUUCUACAACAUGCAGCAUUU